rnacentral:misc_RNA from 1 species
AACGCAAAUUGCGCUCUUUGGUAUUCCGAAGAGCAUGCCUGUUUGAGUGUCAUAAUAACCCUCACCUUUCUGGUUUUAUGAACCAGGAAUUGGUGGUUUGGACGUCUGCCAGCUUCACGGUUGGCUCGUCUUAAAUGCAUUAGUGGAAAUCAAUAGCGUGAUAAGUCUUCGCUUUAGAACACCACUUUAAAAUUAUUAUUUCUCUGACCUCAAAUCAGGUAGGACUACCCGCUGAACUUAA